ACGGCCGCUGCAGUGACUCGAUGACUUUACCAAUCGGCGAUUGGCUCUUAUUUACGCCCUGUCCCAAAUGGCACAGUCCGGACUUGUGGACUUCCUCAGAGUCCACACUUUGGUGUCGUCAUGUAGUCCAGACCUGUAGGGCCCUUGGCGCGAGUCCACGAGGGCGCAUUGAGAGACACCUGGAAGAAAGCAGCUGCUCUGGGCUCAGAGGCAUACACUUGUGAUUUACAAAACACGUCUGCAAAACCUUGUGCUGUACAGCUGGGGAAAAAACAACAAGUGGUGAACAGCUGCCAUCACCAAAAGCACUGCUCAAUGAAGUGAUUUCUGCUCAGAAGUGCCUUUGUGCAUGCUGCGAAACUUUAAUUUCUGGCUAAUGACAAGCCGAGACUGUCUGAUCUACCACCUGUAGUCUCUCUCUUGUAGCUGGCAUUUUCAAGAGGAUGCAUUCCAAGUUAUGAAGAGAACUAGGCACAUCGGAAUCCAAUGUUAGCUUCACUUCUUGUCUCCUGAGAUACCUUCAUCUGAUGGAUUUUUGAAGGCAGCAUAGAUGUAUCUUUCGCUGCCUU